rnacentral:rRNA from 1 species
CCUACGGGAGGCUGCAGUGGGGAAUAUUGGGCAAUGGGCGCAAGCCUGACCCAGCAACGCCGCGUGAAGGAAGAAGGCUUUCGGGUUGUAAACUUCUUUCGUCAGGGACGAAGAAAGUGACGGUACUUGACGAAUAAGCCCCGGCUAACUACGUGCCAGCAGCCGCGGUAAUACGUAGGUGGCAAGCGUUAUCCGGAUUUAUUGGGUGAAAAGGGCGUGUAGGCGGGAUUGCAAGUCAGAUGUGAAAUUCCAGGGCUCAACCCUGGAACUGCAUUUGAAACUAUAGGGCUUGAGUGAUGGAGAGGCAGGCGGAAUUCCGGGUGUAGCGGUGAAAUGCGUAGAUAUACGGAGGAACACCAGUGGCGAAGGCGGCCUACUGGACAUUAACUGACGCUGAGGCGCGAAAGCGUGGGGAGCAAACAGGAUUAGAUACCCUUGUAGUC